rnacentral:rRNA from 2 species
UUCGGUGACAAUGCGCUUAGGGGUAACACCCGUUCCCAUCCCGAACACGAUGGUUAAGACCUAAGCGGCCGAUGGUACUAUGCUGGAGACGGCAUGGGAGAGUAGGUGGUCGCCGAAU